UACGGAGGGGGCUAGCGUUGUUCGGAAUUACUGGGCGUAAAGCGCACGUAGGCGGCUUUGUAAGUUAGAGGUGAAAGCCCGGGGCUCAACUCCGGAAUUGCCUUUAAGACUGCAUCGCUAGAAUUGUGGAGAGGUAAGUGGAAUUCCGAGUGUAGAGGUGAAAUUCGUAGAUAUUCGGAAGAACACCAGUGGCGAAGGCGACUUACUGGACACAUAUUGACGCUGAGGUGCGAA
rnacentral:rRNA from 1 species